CUGGAUUCUUCACUUAAACAAAGUACAUAAUCGCUGGAUUCUUGGGAAGACAUGAUCGAUGGAGUAGGAUAAUAUUUCAGACCGUAGGAAGUGAAGCAAAUGGCAAACAAAUGUGGAGGAAAAGAAGAAGAAAAAAUUCUGAUGGUGGAGAAUCAAAGAAAUGUGAAGGAGAAGAAGAAGGAAAAAAAUUCUAAUGGUGGAGAGUGGAGGAGAAAAAGAAUUAUAAGGAAGAAGGAGGCAACGGCUAGGGUUGCAAAGAAUAAGAUUUAAACUUAUUCUUUGAGACUUUAUUAAAUGAACUUAUAGGUGAAUUAUUAAUGGGCUUUAUUAAAUAAAGCCCAUAAGUGAAUUAUUCAUAUCCGAGACGGGUAACCGGGUCGGGUACGGGUCAGACCCC
rnacentral:lncRNA from 1 species